rnacentral:lncRNA from 1 species
AAUUUUAAUUAUAUAGAUUAGAUGCUUUAUUUUUCAUACAACUUUAUAUCACAUGCAACAAACCUAUGAUUUCAAGAUCUAAGAUUUUGUAGAAAAAUAAGUUCUUCCUUUUGUAUUCUUCUUCAUGGGAUCUAAUCAUAUGGUACCCCUACAUGCCAUAAGAGUACCCCAUCGAAUAGGAAGAGAGGGUCUUUAAAUCUUUCUUGCUCCUAU